rnacentral:piRNA from 1 species
UACAAUAAGAUGCUUCUCUGACCAAGGUU